rnacentral:rRNA from 1 species
UACAGAGGGAGCUAGCGUUGUUCGGAAUUACUGGGCGUAAAGCGCACGUAGGCGGCUAUUCAAGUCGGGGGUGAAAGCCCGGGGCUCAACCCCGGAACUGCCCUCGAAACUAGAUAGCUAGAAUCUUGGAGAGGCGAGUGGAAUUCCGAGUGUAGAGGUGAAAUUCGUAGAUAUUCGGAAGAACACCAGUGGCGAAGGCGACUCGCUGGACAAGUAUUGACGCUGAGGUGCGAAAGCGUGGGGAGCAAACAGG